rnacentral:rRNA from 1 species
AUGGCGACUACAGAGCCGAAUGCAAAAAACUGGCUGUUUACCCUGAUCGAGAGCCUGUCGCAUGAGAACUUUGCCUUGUUGGCGGUCACGGCGUGGGCGAUCUGGCAUGCUCGCCGUAAAGCGAUUCAUGAGGCAAUCUUCCAAAGCCCCCAUCAGACACACUCCUUCAUCAUAAGGUUUAUAGCAGAACUCGGUGUGAUCAACGAUACAAACCGACGCCCACGCCAACAACCACAAAGACAGAAUCCCAAGAAACCACCACCCGGAGCAUGCAAAAUACAUGUCGAUGCUGCUGCUCGCGCCAGAAGAGGGGGAUCGGCGGCUGCAGUAUGUAGAGAUGAGGCGGGGAACUAUAUUGGGGCAUCAGCGCUGGUUUUGGAGGGUGUCACUGACCCUGCGUCCUUGGAAGCAAUAGCAUGUCGUGAGGCGUUGUGUUUGGCGGAAGAUCUGAAUAUCAACAAUUUCGUCAUUGCAUCAGAUUGCAAACAGGUAGUGGCAGACAUUGGCCACAAUGCUAGAGGAAGAUAUGGGGCGAUCAUCAGCGAGAUUCAUUUGAGAAUUGUUAAUGUCCAAUGUAAAUUUACUUUCGAGUGUCGUGCUGCGAAUUAUGAAGCACAUAGUUUAGCAAAAUUUUCCCUUUCUAGAGGUCCUGGCCGUCACGUCUGGUUUGGCGUUCCUCAUAACCAGAACCUUAUCCCACUUCAUGUGGAUUUUGAUGAAUAA